GGUCUAUUAGUGUAGUGGUUAUCACUCUGGAUUUUGAUUGCUCGUCAAAGUCUUCCAGUAACCCCAGUUCGAAUCUGGGAUAGACCU
rfam:Stagonospora sp. SRC1lsM3a unplaced genomic scaffold IQ06scaffold_4, whole genome shotgun sequence.